AACGAACGUUAGCGGCGCGCUUAACACAUGCAAGUCGUGCGAGAAAGGGCUUCGGCCCCGGUACAGCGGCGCACGGGUGAGUAACACGUAGGUAAUCUACCCUCGGGUGGUGGAUAACCUUCCGAAAGGAGGGCUAAUACAGCAUAAGACCACGGCUACGAAAGUGGCUGAGGUUAAAGAGGGCCUCUGCAUGCCAGCUCGCGGCAGGGGCGGAGCCUGCGGCCCAUCAGGUAGUUGGUAGGGUAAUGUCCUACCAAGCCAAAGACGGGUAGCUGGUCUGAGGGGAUGAUCAGUCACACUGGAACGGAGACACGGUCCAGACUCCUACGGGAGGCAGCAGUGGGGAAUCUUGCGCAAUGGGCGAAAGCCUGACGCAGCGACGCCGCGUGAGUGAUGAAGGCCCUCGGGUUGUAAAGCUCUGUGGAGGGGGACGAAUAAAUGCCGGCCAAUACCCGGCAUGAUGACGGUAACGGGAGAAUAAGCUCCGGCUAACUUCGUGCCAGCCGCCGCGGUAAAAC
rnacentral:rRNA from 1 species